rnacentral:rRNA from 1 species
AUUGAACGCUGGCGGCAGGCCUAACACAUGCAAGUCGAACGGGUGGCGGACGGGUGAAUAGUGUCUGGGAAACUGCCCGAUGGAGGGGGGUAACUACUGGAAACGGUAGCUAAUACCGCAUACCAUCGGAUGUGCCCAGAGGGGAUUAGCUAGUAGGUGGGGUAACGGCUCACCUAGGCGACGAUCCCUAGCUGGCCUGAGAGGAUGACCAGCCACACUGGAACUGAGACACGGUCCAGACUCCUACGGGAGGCAGCAGUGGGGAAUAUUGCACAAUGGGCGCAAGCCUGAUGCAGCCAUGCCGCGUGUAUGAAGAAGGCCUUCGGGUUGUAAAGUACUUUCAGCGAGGAGGCGGUACUCGAAGAAGAAGCACCGGCUAACUCCGUGCCAGCAGCCGCGGUAAUUC